rnacentral:tRNA from 2 species
UGGGGUGUAGCCAAGCGGUAAGGCAACGGAUUUUGGUUCCGUGAUCGCAGGUUCGAAUCCUGCCACCCCAGCCA